AUUGAACGCUGGCGGCAUGCCUUACACAUGCAAGUCGAACGGUAACAGGUUAAGCUGACGAGUGGCGCACGGGUGAGUAAUACAUCGGAACGUGCCCAGUAGUGGGGGAUAGCCCGGCGAAAGCCGGAUUAAUACCGCAUACGACCUAAGGGUGUAAGGGGGGGAUCGCAGGACCUCUCGCUAUUGGAGCGGCCGAUGUCAGAUUAGCUAGUUGGUGGGGUAAAAGCCCACCAAGGCGACGAUCUGUAGCUGGUCUGAGAGGACGACCAGCCACACUGGGACUGAGACACGGCCCAGACUCCUACGGGAGGCAGCAGUGGGGAAUUUUGGACAAUGGGCGCAAGCCUGAUCCAGCCAUGCCGCGUGCGGGAAGAAGGCCUUCGGGUUGUAAACCGCUUUUGUCAGGGAAGAAAUCCUUUGGGUUAAUACCUCGGGGGGAUGACGGUACCUGAAGAAUAAGCACCGGCUAACUACGUG
rnacentral:rRNA from 1 species